GGAGAUCAGUCGGCUCCUGAACGAGACUGUCAGCCUGGCGGACACCAGCGGCAGCCUGACCGACUCGAUGGCUGUCCUGGAGCGCGGUCUGGGCACCGUCGCGCUGGAGGGCACGCGUGACUCAGUCACCAUGGACGAGCUGCUGCUGCCGGCCACAAGCGCCGUCUGCCGAUAUCCGGUGACCAGCAGUCGUCUGGAGGAGUCGGUGGCGCCCCUGGCCUCCAGCG